CCAGCUUGUAGAGAGUGCCUGAGAGGCCUGGA
rnacentral:piRNA from 1 species